rnacentral:rRNA from 1 species
AUGAACGCUGGCGGCGCGCCUAACACCUGCAAGUCGAACGAUUAAAGCACCUUCGGGUGUGUAUAAAGUGGCGAACGGCUGAGUAACACGUGGGCAACCUGCCCCUUUCAUUGGGAUAGCCACGGGAAACCGUGGAUAAUACCGAAUACUUCGAGACUUCCGCAUGGAAGACUCGAGAAAGCUCCGGCGGAGAGGGAUGGGCCCGCGGCCUGUUAGCUUGUUGGUGGGGUAACGGCCUACCAAGGCAAUGAUGGGUAGCUGGGUUGAGAGACCGACCAGCCAGAUUGGGACUGAGACACGGCCCAGACUCCUACGGGAGGCAGCAGUGGGGAAUCUUGCACAAUGGGCGAAAGCCUGAUGCAGCGACGCGGCGUGCGGGAUGAAGGCCGUCGGGUUGUAAACCGCUUUCAGCAGGGACGAGGCGAAAGUGACGGUACCUGCAGAAGAAGCCCCGGCUAACUACGUG